AAUCAACGCUGGCGGCGUGCCUAACACAUGCAAGUCGAACGAGAAAGGGUAGCAAUACCUGAGUAAAGUGGCGCACGGGUGAGUAACACGUGACUAACCUACCUUUUAGUGGGGGAUAACCUAGGGAAACCUGGGCUAAUACCGCAUAAUACUUACGAGUCAAAGCAGUAAUGCGCUGAAAGAGGGGGUCGCGGCCGAUUAGCUUGUUGGCGGGGUAAUGGCCCACCAAGGCAGUGAUCGGUAUCCGGCCUGAGAGGGCGCACGGACACACUGGAACUGAAACACGGUCCAGACUCCUACGGGAGGCAGCAGUGGGGAAUUUUGCGCAAUGGGGGAAACCCUGACGCAGCAACGCCGCGUGGAGGAUGAAGUCCCUUGGGACGUAAACUCCUUUCGAUCGGGACGAUAAUGACGGUACCGGAAGAAGAAGCCCCGGCUAACUUCGUGCCAGCAACCGCGGUAAUAGUGUGUGUA
rnacentral:rRNA from 1 species